rnacentral:rRNA from 1 species
GAUGAACGCUGGCGGCGUGCCUAAUACAUGCAAGUCGAGCGAACAGAUGAGGAGCUUGCUCCUCUGACGUUAGCGGCGGACGGGUGAGUAACACGUGGAUAACCUACCUAUAAGACUGGGAUAACUUCGGGAAACCGGAGCUAAUACCGGAUAAUAUAUUGAACCGCAUGGUUCAAUAGUGAAAGACGGUUUUGCUGUCACUUAUAGAUGGAUCCGCGCCGCAUUAGCUAGUUGGUAAGGUAACGGCUUACCAAGGCCACGAUGCGUAGCCGACCUGAGAGGGUGAUCGGCCCCACUGGAACGGAGACACGGUCCUGACUACUACGGUAGGCAGCAGUAGUGAAUCUUCCGCGAUGGGCGAAAGCCUGACGGAGCAACGCCGCGUGAGUGAUGAAGGUCUUCCGAUCCUAAAACUCUGUUAUUAGUGAAGAACAAAUGUGUAAGUAACUAUGCACGUCUUGACGGUACCUAAUCAGAAAGCCACGGCUAACUACGUG